rnacentral:rRNA from 1 species
UACGUAGGCAGCAAGCGUUGUUCGGAAUUACUGGGCGUAAAGAGUGUGUAGGCGGUGCUCUAAGUCUGUUGUGAAAUCUCCCGGCUUAACUGGGAGGGUGCGGCGGAGACUGGAGUGCUAGAGUGUGGGAGAGGUAAGCGGAAUUCCUGGUGUAGCGGUGAAAUGCGUAGAUAUCUGGAGGAACACCGGUGGCGAAGGCGACGUCCUGGACCGGCAUUGACGCUGAGGCGCGAAAGCCAGGGGAGCAAACGGG